rnacentral:rRNA from 1 species
GAUGAACGCUAGCGGGAGGCCUAACACAUGCAAGCCAAGCGGUAUUUAUUCUUCGGAAUAGAGAGAGCGGCGUACGGGUGCGGAACACGUGUGCAACCUGCCUUUAUCAGGGGGAUGGUCUUUCGAAAGGAAGAUUAAUACCCCAUAAUAUAUCUGAUGGCAUCAUUAGCUAUUGAAAACUCCGGUGGUGAGAGAUGGGCACGCGCAAGAUUAGAUAGUUUGUGAGGUAACGGCUCACCAAGUCAGUGAUCUUUAGGGGGCCUGAUGCGGGUGAUCCCCCACACUGGUACUGAGACACGGACCAGACUCCUACGGGAGGCAGCAGUGAGGAAUAUUGGACAAUGGGUGCGAGCCUGAUCCAGCCAUCCCGCGUGAAGGACGACGGUUCUAUGGAUUGUAAACUUCUUUUAUACUGGGAUAAACCUGCCCUCGUGAGGGUAGCUGAAGGUACAGUAUGAAUAAGCACCGGCUAACUCCGUGCCAGCCGCCGCGGUAA